GGCCAGUUAGCUCAGCUGGUUAGCGUGUGGUGCUAAUAACGCCACGGUCGUGGGUUCAAGCCCCAUACUGGUCA